rnacentral:rRNA from 1 species
GACGAACGCUGGCGGCGUGCUUAACACAUGCAAGUCGAACGGUAAGGCCCUUCGGGGUACACGAGUGGCGAACGGGUGAGUAACACAUGGGUGAUCUGCCCUGCACUUCGGGAUAAGCCUGGGAAACUGGGUCUAAUACCGGAUAGGACCACUGCCUGCAUGGGUGGUGGUGGAAAGCUUUUGCGGUGUGGGAUGGGCCCGCGGCCUAUCAGCUUGCUGGUGGGGUGAUGGCCUACCAAGGCGACGACGGGUAGCCGGCCUGAGAGGGUGACCGGCCACACUGGGACUGAGAUAUGGCCCAGACUCCUACGGGAGGCAGCAGUGGGGAAUAUUGCACAAUGGGCGCAAGCCUGAUGCAGCGACGCCGCGUGAGGGAUGACGGCCUUCGGGUUGUAAACCUCUUUCAGCACCGACGAAGCGCAAGUGACGGUAGGUGCAGAAGAAGGACCGGCCAACUACGUGCCAGCCGCCGCAGUAC